CAGUCGCCGCGGGAAUACGUAGGUGGCAAGCGUUGUCCGGAAUUAUUGGGCGUAAAGGGCUCGCAGGCGGUUUCUUAAGUCUGAUGUGAAAGCCCCCGGCUCAACCGGGGAGGGUCAUUGGAAACUGGGAAACUUGAGUGCAGAAGAGGAGAGUGGAAUUCCACGUGUAGCGGUGAAAUGCGUAGAGAUGUGGAGGAACACCAGUGGCGAAGGCGACUCUCUGGUCUGUAACUGACGCUGAGGAGCGAAAGCGUGGGGAGCAAACAGGAUUAGAUACCCGCGUAGUCCCUGUCUCUUAUAC
rnacentral:rRNA from 1 species